AUGCAGCCCUUGCCGGGGUUGGGUCGCAGCGUGGCCCCCUGGACAUGUGGCUUGCUGCUGCAGCUUCGUGCGUUGCUGCAAGGCUGGGGAGCCAAGCGGGGGCACGACAACAAGCUGCUCAGGGCUAACCUGGUCUCGGAACUGGUUGCCCUGGAUGUACAGGCUGAUCAGAGACAGUUUUCUGAGGCUGAAUGGGCGCGCCGAUACGCCAUCAAAAAUUUAGUGUUGUCCAUUGUUCGCUCUGAGGAGCAGUACUGGCAUCGUAGGGGUGGGAUGAAGUGGGCUCUUAAGGGCGAUGCAAACACUGGCUAUUUUCAUGCCUACGCUAAUGGUUGUCGUCGCAAGUGUGCGAUCCUGCGCUUGCAAUUGGAGCAAGGGCUCCUCCUUAGCCAGGGAGAUAUUGCUAAACACAUUUACGAUUCCUACAUCCAGCUUAUGGGUUCCGAGGAGCCUAAGUUGGCAGGCUUGCGUCACGAUUUGUGGGAUCAGACACAAUGUGUUUCCUCGCAGGAGAAUGAGGAGCUACCCCUCUCUUUUUUCCCAAAGAAAUCGAUGAUGCGCUCUGUGCAAUGA
rnacentral:rRNA from 1 species